rnacentral:rRNA from 1 species
GUGGGGAAUAUUGGACAAUGGGCGCAAGCCUGAUCCAGCCAUGCCGCGUGAGUGAUGAAGGCCUUAGGGUUGUAAAGCUCUUUCAGUAGGGAAGAUAAUGACGGUACCUACAGAAGAAGCCCCGGCUAACUCCGUGCCAGCAGCCGCGGUAAUACGAAGGGGGCUAGCGUUGUUCGGAUUUACUGGGCGUAAAGCGCACGUAGGCGGAUUGGUCAGUUAGAGGUGAAAUCCCGAAGCUCAACUUCGGAACUGCCUUUAAUACUGCCAGUCUCGAGUCCGGAAGAGGUGAGUGGAACUCCUAGUGUAGAGGUGGAAUUCGUAGAUAUUAGGAAGAACACCAGUGGCGAAGGCGGCUCACUGGUCCGGUACUGACGCUGAGGUGCGAAAGCGUGGGGAGCAAACAGGAUUAGAUACCCCGGUAGUCC